ensembl:lncRNA
GGUAAAGACAAGCUGGCAUCUUAUGGGCAAGUGGCCAAACUAAUCAAAAAAAGGUUUUUGGUGCCGCAUCCUCCUUGCAGAUUUGUUCCAUCCAGUGUCAGGCAGCAACCAGUAGCUACUCACCAAAAAAUCAGAGGUUGCCAGGGUUUCAACAACUGGUCUCUAGGCCUGUGUGACUGAGGCCUUAGUUUUGAGUGUUUGCUUAUAUGUACAAAUAAGCGCAUAAAGUAUGUUUAAUGCUGAUGGAGAGUUUGCUUUGUAGGUAUUAACAUUUUCCCCUGAUUGCAGUACAAAUUUCAAAGUGAUAAUUUCAGUCAGAAGAAACAAUUCUGUGAAUUAUAUCAUUUAUAAAUGAAUAGUAGUCAAUAUAUAUGUUAGUAGCUGAUGCAACAACACAGUAAUAGCUAAAAAGAAAGGCUGGAGAAGAUGAACUGCCUCAUGUUCAGUGUUUUGUUGUAUCAGUGGUUCUAGGUUAGUGCUGGAAAAAAUAAAAAAAAAAGGGUGAAAGACGAUUGAAAGACAACAAGCAAGGCUGUGACGCAGCAAAGAAGAAAAGAAUGUUUCAAUGUACAACCGUAGGAGUAAUGAAAGAAAAGUCAAAGUCAAAGAAAAUUGUUAAAGCUAAAGACAGGUAUAUAUGAUAAUGAAGAAAAAAGUGGAACAAAGCAAAUAUUAAGAAGGGUUUAAAAGAGAAGUUUGAAUGGCAGCAGAGAAAAAUAAUCUACAGAGGAUGAGGAGAAAUAGAGAGAGAGUGCAGGAACCAGCCAAUUGAGUUUUAUGUUGUCUGGCUGUGUGUCUGGUCCAUUUGUGGUUCUGUUCAGCAUUCCUCAACAGACCACUACAGGCCACAUAAAGCACAGAGGCACCAAGUCACACGAGAAAGAGCAGGUGUGUGUGUGUCUUUUUUUUCAACAGUGCACCCACGUCUGCAUUAUCCCACUGCUCUCCUCGGCUGGGUUCACUUGGGCAGUCAUUGUUCUCCACCCAUCCGUCUCAGUUCUACAGCAGAUGUGGGCCACAUCUCAUUCAGAAGGUGGUCACCACACAAGACUGAGGAAACCCAAAAGGGAAACUUCCUUGUAGGAAAGCUCGCUGUCAGGAAAUACAGGAUAACAACCGUCCAUAGUGCUGCUACAGCAGCACGUCUGCAAGCAUGCAUGGCUGCAUCACAG